UACGUAGGGUGCGAGCGUUGUCCGGAAUUAUUGGGCGUAAAGGGCUCGUAGGCGGUUUGUCGCGUCGGGAGUGAAAACCUUGGGCUUAACCCAGGGCUUGCUUUCGAUACGGGCAGACUAGAGGUAUGCAGGGGAGAACGGAAUUCCUGGUGUAGCGGUGAAAUGCGCAGAUAUCAGGAGGAACACCGGUGGCGAAGGCGGUUCUCUGGGCAUGAUCUGACGCUGAGGAGCGAAAGUGUGGGGAUCAAACAGG
rnacentral:rRNA from 1 species